AUUGAACGCUGGCGGCAGGCUUAACACAUGCAAGUCGAGCGGAGAUGAGGUGCUUGCACCUUAUCUUAGCGGCGGACGGGUGAGUAAUGCUUAGGAAUCUGCCUAUUAGUGGGGGACAACAUUCCGAAAGGAAUGCUAAUACCGCAUACGUCCUACGGGAGAAAGCAGGGGAUCUUCGGACCUCGCGCUAAUAGAUGAGCCUAAGUCGGAUUAGCUAGUUGGUGGGGUAAAGGCCUACCAAGGCGACGAUCUGUAGCGGGUCUGAGAGGAUGAUCCGCCACACUGGGACUGAGACACGGCCCAGACUCCUACGGGAGGCAGCAGUGGGGAAUAUUGGACAAUGGGGGGAACCCCGAUCCAGCCAUGCCGCGUGUGUGAAGAAGGCCUUAUGGUUGUAAAGCACUUUAAGCGAGGAGGAGGCUACUGAGACUAAUACUCUUGGAUAGUGGACGUUACUCGCAGAAUAAGCACCGGCUAACUCUGUGCCAGCCGCCGCCGUAAUAC
rnacentral:rRNA from 1 species